UGGGGGAUAUUGCACAAUGGGGGAAACCCUGAUGCAGCGACGCCGCGUGGAGGAAGAAGGUUUUCGGAUUGUAAACUCCUGUCGUUAGGGACGAUAAUGACGGUACCUAACAAGAAAGCACCGGCUAACUACGUGCCAGCAGCCGCGGUAAAACGUAGGGUGCAAGCGUUGUCCGGAAUUACUGGGUGUAAAGGGAGCGCAGGCGGGAAGACAAGUUGGAAGUGAAAACCAUGGGCUCAACCCAUGAAUUGCUUUCAAAACUGUUUUUCUUGAGUAGUGCAGAGGUAGAUGGAAUUCCCGGUGUAGCGGUGGAAUGCGUAGAUAUCGGGAGGAACACCAGUGGCGAAGGCGGUCUACUGGGCACCAACUGACGCUGAGGCUCGAAAGCAUGGGUAGCAAGCAGGAUUAGAUACCCUGGUAGUCCAUGCCGUAAACGAUGAUUACUAGGUGUUGGGGGAUUGACCCCCUCAGUGCCGCAGUUAACACAAUAAGUAAUCCACCUGGGGAGUACGACCGCAAGGUUGAAACUCAAAGGAAUUGACGGGGGCCCGCACAAGCAGUGGAGUAUGUGGUUUAAUUCGAAGCAACGCGAAGAACCUUACCAGGUCUUGACAUCCGAUGCAUAGCACAGAGAUGUGUGAAAUCCUUCGGGACAUCGAGACAGGUGGUGCAUGGUUGUCGUCAGCUCGUGUCGUGAGAUGUUGGGUUAAGUCCCGCAACGAGCGCAACCCUUAUUGCCAGUUACUACGUUAAGAGGACUCUGGCGAGACUGCCGUUGACAAAACGGAGGAAGGUGGGGAUGACGUCAAAUCAUCAUGCCCUUUAUGACCUGGGCUACACACGUACUACAAUGGCGUUAAACAAAGAGAAGCAAGACCGCGAGGUGGAGCAAAACUCAAAAACAACGUCUCAGUUCAGAUUGCAGGCUGCAACUCGCCUGCAUGAAGUCGGAAUUGCUAGUAAUCGCGGAUCAGCAUGCCGCGGUGAAUACGUUCCC
rnacentral:rRNA from 1 species